AUUGAACGCUGGCGGCAGGCCUAACACAUGCAAGUCGAGCGAGCGGCGGACGGGUGAGUAAUGUCUGGGAAACUGCCUGAUGGAGGGGGAUAACUACUGGAAACGGUAGCUAAUACCGCAUACCAUCAGAUGUGCCCAGAUGGGAUUAGCUAGUAGGUGGGGAAAUGGCACACCUAUGCGACGAUCCCUAGCUGGUCUGAGAGGAUGACCAGCCACACUGGAACGGAGCGACGGUCCAGGCUCCUAGGGGAGGCAGCUGUGGGGUAUAUUUCACAAUGGGCGCAAGCCUGAUGCAGCCGUGCCGGGUGUGUGACGGAAGCCUUCGGGUUGUAGAGCACUUUCAGCGGGGGGGCGUUCCCCGCAGAAGAGGCACCGGAUAACUCCGGGCCAGCAGCCGCGGUAAUAC
rnacentral:rRNA from 1 species